rnacentral:rRNA from 1 species
AUGGCUCCGGGCCUCUACACCGACAUCGGCAAGAAGACCAGAGAUCUGCUCUACAGGGACUACUGCACGCACCAGAAGUUCACCCUCACCACAUGCACCCCCGAGGGCGUCGCAAUCACAGCUGCAGGAACUAGGAAAAACGAGUCAAUCUUUGGCGAGCUUCAGACCCAGCUUAAGAACAAGAACUUGACAGUUGAUAUCAAAGCAAACUCAGAGUCAGAUCUUCUGACAACAUUCACAGUUGAUGAGUUUGCAACUCCAGGGCUGAAAUCAAUUCUCAGCUUGGUUGUUCCAGACCAGAGGUCAGGGAAGCUUGAACUCCAGUAUCUCCAUGAAUUCGCCGGUGUCAAUGCAAGCGUUGGGCUGAACCCCAACCCUAUGGUUAACCUUUCUGGUGUAUUCGGAAGCAAAGAACUGUCAGUUGGUGUUGACGUUUCAUUUGACACGGCAACUAGCAAUUUCACCAAGUACAACGCUGCUUUAAGCCUCACGUAUCCGGAUCUUAUUGCUUCACUCCACCUGAACAAUCACGGUGACACCUUGACUGCGUCUUACUACCACUUAGUAAAGUCACAUUCAAGCACUGCUGUUGGAGCAGAGCUGUCCCACAACUUCCCAAGGAACGAGAGCACAUUGAUAUUUGGAUCGCAGCACUCAUUGGACCCGCACACCAGUGUGAAGGCACGCUUCAACAACUAUGGCAUGGCCAGUGCCCUUGUCCAGCAUGAAUGGCGACCCAAGUCACUCGUCACCAUCUCCGGCGAGGUUGACACCAAGGCAAUUGAGAAGAGCACAAAAGUUGGUCUGUCAUUGGUGCUAAAGCCUUGA